rnacentral:rRNA from 1 species
UACGUAGGGUGCAAGCGUUAAUCGGAAUUACUGGGCGUAAAGCGUGCGUAGGCGGUGAUGUAAGUCAGUUGUGAAAUCCCCGGGCUCAACCUGGGAACUGCAUCUGUGACUGCAUCGCUGGAGUGCGGCAGAGGGGGAUGGAAUUCCGCGUGUAGCAGUGAAAUGCGUAGAUAUGCGGAGGAACACCGAUGGCGAAGGCAAUUCCCUGGGCCUGCACUGACGCUCAUGCACGAAAGCGUGGGGAGCAAACAGG